rnacentral:lncRNA from 1 species
UUUAGUCGAUUAACUUGCUAUUAAUCUGUUGUUCUAUGUGAACAUGCUUUGAAAAGAUUUAUGUGUUAUCUUAUGUUAUAUCUGCAUCACAUAUUUAUUUGCUCUUGAUUAUUUACUGUUAUUAUCUGCUUCUAUUUGGGAGUUUUUUGACCUUAGCCCUAACGAGUACAUGGAGCAGGUAUGGUAUGUGUUUUGGAUUCGAAAUAUGAGGUAAGGUUUGUGAUCAUAAUUUUAUUGAUUGCCUUGAUUAUGCAAGUAUUAACUUUGUGUUUUGAUUGCUUGCAGGUUGAUUGAGCAUCAAUGUGGAAAUUUGUUAGUUUUUGAUGUGCAAUGAAUCUCGGGUUAUAAUGCAAACAUGACUUUAAUUUCUUAGGAAAUUAAUGCUACUCAUAAACAAAGUAGACCAUUAGAAGUAAUUUAGGAAAUUAAUGCUACUCAUAACCCAUAUAUAUUUUAUCUAUUGGAUAUCUUUGAAUAUUAACCCAUUUAACCAUUUUAUUGGUCCAACUAAAACCUAACAUAUCCUAUGUAUAUGUUGUAUUUGCCUUGACCGUUUAGUAUGUGAUUUGUGUAUGAAAGUGGGGAAAAGUAAUAACUAGC